CGCGCCUAACACAUGCCAAAGUCGAACGGAACGUAGUUCGGAUGAAGUUUUCGGAUGGAUGAAGAACAGUUAGUGGCGGACGGGUGAGUAACACGUGAGCAACCUGCCUUUCAGAGGGGAAUAACAUUCGGAAACGAAUGCUAAUACCGCAUAAUGCAACGAGAUGGCAUCAUCUUGUUGCCAAAGAUUUAUCGCUGAAAGAUGGGCUCGCGCCCGAUUAGCUAGUUGGUGAGGUAAUGGCCCACCAAGGCAACGAUCGGUAGCCGGACUGAGAGGUUGAUCGGCCACAUUGGGACUGAGACACGGCCCAGACUCCUACGGGAGGCAGCAGUGGGGAUAUUGCACAAUGGGCGAAAGCCUGAAUGCAGCGACGCCGCGUGAGGGAAGACGGUUUUCGGAUUGUAAACCUCUGUCUUCAGGGACGAUAAUGACGGUACCUGAGGAGGAAGCACCGGCUAACUACGUGCCAGCCGCCGC
rnacentral:rRNA from 1 species